rnacentral:miRNA from 1 species
AGGAAGGGAGCUGUUGGCCCC